UUAUUUGAAGAAUAAACAUUUGAGAGAAGCUUCGUCUUAGUGUUCUAGUACUGCAUUGAUUUGUUUCGACCUUUGUGAUUUGAUCUUAAACGACGAAAUGUUAAAUGAAUAGUUUCUUACAAGACACACAGAUUAAAAUCUGGUACAAUUCAUCAGUUUGUAUAAAAAUUCUGGUUAGUACAAGCCGUCGUGACUAGUUUAUCAAUAAUGUUUACUGUUGUUUCAAUAGUUCUCAAUAAUUACAUCUGUUUUUUUAAUGCCUCCUCAGUCAAACGAAGAUAUGCCGGAGCCCAGAUCGAGUACCGAGGCGGAGACGUGACGUUUUCGCCGAGCUGCCGUGGUAUGCCAAAAAUGACUCUGGAAGGGUACGUCUACAUUCGGAACGCUGGAAAUGCUACCAAGACGUACUGGCUUUGCGAGCGUGGAAAGCGAUUCAAGUGUCGCGCCCGUGCGAUAACUUAUCGAGGCACGGGGCGUAUUACCAUCAACGAACACUCCCACAAUCACAUGCCGGGGUUUUAGGAAAAAACUGCGUGGGUGGAACUGAAUUCUAUGAUAAAAUGUACUCCGUUUUGCCAUACAUGAAUUUCGUAGUACUAGAUCAGUGCCGUGCAUUUAUCACUAUCAUGCCGUUUCAGAUUCUCUAACUUCUCUAGUACUUUAUCAGUUACCUAGCUCAUUUCAAAUGUCUCAAAUCCAACCAUCAACAUACUGCUAUUCAAAAAAAGGACAACGCGACCCGAAACUGAUCUUCGAUGGAUAUUCUUUGUACAGAAAUAGAUAAAAGGAAACGUGCUACUUCAAAUUGAACACGAACGGUGUGUUUUGAAAUCUAAAAAAUAAAUAUGCCAGAGAAGCAUCGUCUUAGCGUUCUAGUACCCAAUUGUCAUGUUUCUACUUAAGUGACCUCAGACAACGUAAUAUGAAAUGGAAAAUUAGUUGCAUGAUACACUGAUUGAAAUCAGGUACAAUUCUUCAGUUUGUGUGAAUUACUUGUUACAAAAAAAGUAUUCGGUAUUAAGUAUCGUGACUAGUUUCAUUGAUGGUUCUUAUAAUAGUCGAAAUAAUUCUCUAUAAUAAUAUGCAUUCUUUUCUCCUCAGUCAAACGAAGAUAUGUCGGAGCCCAGAUCGAGUACCAGGCAGAGGCGUGACGUUUUCGAUCAGACGAGGUCGUCGUUGUAUGCCCAAAAUGACGCUGGAAGGGUACGUGUACAGACGGAAUGCUGGCAAUAGGAGGCAAUCAGUGAAGUACUAGAUUGAAAGUAGUGAGCUGGAUUUUUGUAUGGUGAGAUGUUCAAUUCUCCAUUAGUGCAAUGAAAUGGUUCAAACAGCGUGGGUAUUAUGAUUUCUUGACUAAUUUGAUGCUGUUUGAGCAAAAGUUUGAGUAACUGUGUUGUUGAAGUUGCAUGAAAUAAAUAAUACAACAACAAAGUUACCCAAACUUUUGCUCAAACAGCAUCAAAUUAGCCAAGAAAUCAUAUAACCCACGCUGUUUGCACCAAUUCAUUGCAAAAAUGGAGAAUUGAACAUCUCACCAUACAAAAAUCCAGCUCACUACUUUCAAUCUAGUACUUCACUGAUUGUCUCCUAUGCUAUCAAAACGUACUGGCGUUGCGAGCGUGAAAAGCGGUUCAAGUGUUGCGCCCGUGCGAUAACGUACCGAGGUACGGGGCGCAUUAUCAUCAACGAACAUUGCCACAAUCAUAUGCCGGAAUUUUAGGGAAAAAUGGCAUUAAUGGAAUAAAUCCGAUGAUAAAAUAAACUCCGUUUUUGCCAUACAUUUAUUUCGUAGUACUAGAUCAAUGGCGUUCAUUUGUAACUAACUUCCCGUUUCAGAUACCCGAACUGCUCUAGUAUCCAAUAUUCACAUUGACCUCGUUCAUUCCAGAUACCUCGCAUCCAACCCUCAACAGACUGCUUUUCAUCAAAGGACAACGUGGCCCGAAACUGAUCUUCGAUGGAUAUUCUUUCAACAGAAACAAAGGCCAUGGUCAAACCACCUACUGGCGGUGUACGAAACAUCAAUCGCUCGGCUGCAAAGCCAAAUUGGUUACCACAAAUCUGGGCAAAAAGAUUUCCAUCGGUACUCCGGUUCACUGUCACAAGGCUGAUUACGGUCAGCUGAUCUGAAUAUCGGACGGAAUGAAACAGGCUGGGAAGGGUUCGGACGAUAUUUGAAACAGUAAUUGAAAUGUUGUACUAGAUUCUUGGAACUGACCUUUGAUAAUGUGUUUUCCAUGCUUUUGCGGUUCCUGCGGUUUCAGCCAUUAUGUAAUGCUUUGUAGAUCACUAUGGUAACUGUAGUACAGCCUUGAUUAAGUGUCAAUAGGAAGCAAUCAGUGAAGUACUAGAUUGAAAGUAGUGAGCUGGAUUUUUGUAUGGCGAGAUGAUCAAUUCUCCAUUUCUGCAAAGAAAUGGUGCAAACAGCGUGGGUUAUAUGAUUUAUUGACUAAUUUGAUGCUGUUUGAGCAAAAGUUUGGAUAACUGUGUUGUUGAAGUUGCAGGAAAAAAUAAUACAACAACACAGUUAUUCAAACUUUUGCUCAAAUAGCAUCAAAUUAGCCAAUAAAUCAUAUGACCUACGCUGUUUGCACCAUUUCAUUGCAGAAAUGGAGAAUUGAUCAUCUCACCAUACAAAAAUCCAGCUCACUACUUUCAAUCUAGUACUUCACUGAUUGCCUCCUAUUUUGGUGCAUUUUUUGCGAAAUUAUAUAUCAGAUGUUUUCAUCUAGUACUGCGUUUAAGUUUUCUUCAAAGAUGCAGAGCUUUGCGAUCAAUUUUUGCGUUGUGUUAUUUGUGUAUCAUGCCCGCUUAACAAAACAAAAAAUGUUCAUUUCAGAUCCACCGAAUCCUGCUCACAACAGGCUGCUGUUUAUAGUGGGACAGCGCGGUCGAAAGUUGGUAUUUGACGGAUUUUCUUUUCACAUAGACAGACACCGAAACGAGUUCAUCUAUUGGCGUUGCUCAAAGCAUUCUUCGCUUGGUUGCAGGGCAAGAUUGAAAACCACAAAUAAAGGUAAAAAAGUAUCCACCGGUACGCCGGUGCAUUGUCACGCUCCCGAUAUUGGCUCACUGAUUUGAAACACGUGAGAGGCCAUAAAAACUGAUUAUUUGAGCUUUGGGCUCAAGAGUGAAUUUGUAAUAAAAACUUCUAUGGACUGAGAGACAAUAAAAAAUACAAGGUUACACCGCUAAAUGACAGACACAGUAAUGUAAUCUUAAGACAUUAAUACUAAUGAUUGAAUAAAAACUAGUACUACAGUGGCUUGUUGAGACCUUUUGGAAGCCUUUAAGUCAUCUGAGAAAAUUGUCUUAGGAUGGAACUGUCUAGAACAUCAGGGUUAUGGGAUAUUCGAAAAAAAAAACAAACUAGUACUGAAAAACUUUUCCUUGAGGUUCUACUUGUUAUGAGUAGUGCAAAUGUAUUUUGACAUUUAUUUCUAGUUGUACUUCUAGUAUUUUUAUCGUAAUGCUAGAAAUGAUUGAACUGUGAAGUUUGAAUCAUGCAUACCAAUUUUGUUUGCAACGUGCCUAUGAACAUUUUGAAGUACUAGAUUGAAAAUUUUAACUUGCGGAUACAUUAGCUUUGCUCAUCCGUAAUAUAACCUACGUGUGAAUUCACUAUUAUCACUUGAUUACCCUUGUUACUGGACGCUCUAGUACUUCAAUGUGGAUAUUUAAUGUGUAUUGAUACUGAGAUUUCGGUGGAUUUUAUAGAACAUUUGUGGGAGUCUGAAUUAGAGGUGUAUUUUAAUACUGGAUUAUAUUCAAUGAAUAUUAUCUGCAAAAGAUACCAAGUUUAUAUACGCUGCCAAUAUAUUUGAGAAACUGUGGAUGACAAAUAGUGUUUCGUGAAAUUAGACAUGACAUUAUCCGAAAUCGUGUUUCUAUAACAAACAAUAAAGUGAUAUUUUACAAGUUUUUAUGUUUUGUGUUCAUUUUCACGAAUAAGCAAGUCACGUAUGGUUGUGCAAUGAUCUAACAUCUCUUCUUAUCGUUAUUUCAGAUUUCAAACAAUACUUCAGCGAACUGACACCAACUGCGACAAAGAAGCCGACUGUCAUUACCCUGGACAACCAAGAGUUGGAUUUCGUGCCCGGUCAACGUGGUACCAGUUUGCUCCGGAUCAACAACUAUUGCUACGCAAAAAAUAACAAAUCACAAAACUCGACCUACUGGGUGUGUCGUACCAGAGUGCAACACCGGCCGUGCAAUGCUCGAGUCGUUACCACGCUGAAAAGCAACGGACUGUAUCGGAUCGUGAUCACCAAUCCGGUGCACAUCCACGAGCCGAACAAAUACAGUGCCUAUAGAAGUGUUGGGCAGGUCAGGAGGAGACCCAAACUGGUGGCACCGAAGUCGGUGCUGGAGGAAAUUUUCACUUUCACGUUUGAUUCGGACUAGAACUGGAAUGAGGUAAAGUAAAAUGCUUUUAUUUUGUUUUGGUUUUGCAACCAAAAUAAAGAUUUUUUUAAAUACUGGAAGUGCCAUAACGUCAUACCAUUCAGUACAACCAGUACUAAUAUAAGGUGAUUCCUUACUGAUACUGAUGGAUUAUGCAGUACUAGAAUAAACUUAAGUUUUCUAGCCGAAACUCCUACACUGUUUGCAAACUUUUGUACCCCUUAGACUGUCGUCGGUGGUUGCUUAACUGAGCUUAGUUGCAGUACAAGAGUGAGUUGAGGCGAAUUACAAGUGUUAAAGCAACAGUCCCUGCUCGAUCACACCACCUCAACUGGAUCAUGUUAAAAUAUACUUGUUUAGUCCGAUGAACAAUAAAAUAAAAACUACUCUGUUGAUAGAAAUGAGUUUGAUUUGACUGCUUUGAGCAUGUGCGUUACCUUCUUGAUUAUUGAACCCAUGGAAUUAUUUUUAUCGUUCUAGAUUUCAGCCAGCUUGAACUUAAUUAUGAAAUCAACCAAAAGGGCUUUCUAAAAGAGGCGCGUAAGAACACAAUUCGUUUGCGGUGUAAACACUACAAUGAUGUGCGUUACAAAUGUGCCGCCCGGGCUACGUCCGUUAAUGAGCCCAAUGGCAAACUUAUUUCCUACAAUGGCGAACACAAUUAUGGAAUCAUAGGAAACAGACAAAGACGAAGCGAUCGACAGCGAAUUGGAGCGGAAUGAUGAGCAGAAUUUUCGGAUCAAUUUGUGUUCAUCAAGUCAGAAUUAACUAUUUCCCCGAAUAAAGCUGUGUGCGAUACUGUAAAAUUGUAGUUCGUGUUUGAUUCUGAGUUGAAGACUCUGUCGUUAUACUAGAAUGCUAAUCAUUUGUAUGUCUUUCAGCAAAAAAUGACGUAGCCUAUGUGCAGACAAAACAAGGUAUACAACUAUCGAUCAAUAAUUAUUUGUUCAAACCAUGGAAAUCGGUAAACAACGUAGGAUUAUGGCAGUGUCUUCAGUUUUCUGAAUAUGACUGCCCGGUACAGGCUAGCACGGAACGAACCAAGGAUGGAAAACAAGCUCGCAUUUCAAUUCAAGGGCAGCACAAUCACCCCGUUUUCAGAGAUCAUUCCAAAAACGUCACAAUGCGACCAGUUAUGAAAACCUACAGUAGAAAAAAACUCUAAUCCUCAAAAGGAAUAUCAAAUUGCUGCUAUUUGUGGUCAACAUUGUGAAGAAAAAAUAAAUUCCCAACUUCUCUACUCAUGUCUAGCUUUCUCAGUUUAAAAGUGGCAGCACUGAUUGACACGGUUCAAACCAUUCGCUUACUAAUACAACGAAUUUCAUUUCAGUUCUUGAUGUGGACAAUCCAACCGUCCAAUACAUUGCGACCAACAAAUCGCGUAGAUUGAUAAUAAACGGCUACUCUUUUACGCGCAAAAAGCUAACUGACCGGUACACAAUCUGGGAGUGUUGCCAAUCGAGACCGCUAGGAUGCAAGGCUGCGGUCACAACCUAUCUGUACAACGCCGGUGCAGUAAGCAUUCGUGGAUCGCACAAUCACGCCGUCGUAACGGAACGACGGAGAUUAGGCCAGCGAAAGCAGCUGAUGGAGGAACGUCAGCGAGAGAGAAUACGUAGGAAAACUAAAAUAGAGGAAGCGACAGUUUAACUUCAACUUUAAGGAAGUGCUUCUUAAUCUCGAAAUUCUACAAAAUAUGGAGUAAUUUUAAAUAAACUGCUGACCCGAAAAAAGUUUUGAAAUAAAAUAGCGAAAAAAUUUUAAGGACGAGAAGAACUUGUAAUACAGUCAAUGGAAGUAGAGACACAAAUUCACAGAAUUCACCAUUUAAUCCCUUCUCAAAUAACAGUUGUUCUAGUCUGCAGUCAAUGUCCAUUUAGGUCUUCAACUUCUCCAAAACCCCCUUCAUAUUUCAGAAGCCUUGGCACACCGCGCAACGCAACUCAAGGCUACUCUGCGUCAACUGAAACGGGAUCAGAACCGCCGACGAUCACCAACUCGCUCGGAAAGAAUCCGCCAAGUGCAACGGCUGAUCCGACAGCUGGAUAGUCAAUUCCGUCAGAUAUCCGACCAAAACUUGAAAAAGACUGUAAGAGUAAACGGUUUCACGUUUCCCCUGUCCUGCGAAGAGGACAUCGAGCGACUUGAACGGAUGGUGCAACGAAAUCCGAGCAUUCGCGAGCAGUUUGUGAACUAUCUGUGCAAGCGGAAAUCAUUUAGUGACUCUGUCGAAAAAUGUUUUGGAAACUUUUUCACCGAUGAGGCCAUGUUGCGCUACAACUGGAGAGGGCUCGAUCGUGAUCAGUGCCCACGGAAGGCCAUGAUGAAUUACAGCAUUUUUACGGAUUGUAUGGUCGAUGCUUGGAGCUCCCACGGAGUAUCGAUGCAAAUGAUUCAUAGUGAAUUAAGGAAAGCUGUCUUCAAGAUUGGAACUAGGCAGUAUUCAAACAAGUGUGACAGGAAACAUAGAUUUUCGGAAAGGACGUGUGAUUUUAAAUGAUUUUUUUUUUAAAUUCACACGAAGCAAAUCUAACAGCCAUAACUUCAAUAAUGUUUCAUGAUUUCAGAUUACUACAAAUUUACAAGGAAUUAAACUCAUGAACCGGUAAGUAUAUAGAACUGUCGCCAUAUAAAACAAAAUUUUUAUCAUUAUAUUAAAAUUUUAAUUGAGAUGUUUUUAUUCCAGACAUACCAAACAAACUCCGAUUAAAUACACUCGAGGAACGCCAGCGAAAGCAAAUACGUAGGAACAUUAAAAUAUAGAAAGCAACAAUUUAACUUUAUGAAAAGUGCUUCCUAAUCGCAAAAUUUUACAAAAUAAGCAUUUUUUAAAUGAACUGCUAUAUUCGAAUUAGAACAGAACAAAUAAACUGAAAUUCCUUUUGUGGUUUGUGUGCUUCUACUUCGUUUAGUCCACACAGUAUCUGUGUAUAAUUAUUUUUAUUUACAGAUGUAACAAUGCAAGAAGUACUGCACAACCAAUUCUAUAAGUUAUCAAAAUCACUCAAACGACAUAUCUGAUUUUAUCACUAGAAAUUCAAGUGAAUGCUUUUUUACAGCAGUGUGGAGUGGUGAACUAAUCUGUGACAAACUGUUUGUCUCAUUUACUCUGUUGUUUACGCAUGUCUUUGCACUCGUAGCAGAAAACGGAACCGAACCUCAUGUCCAGUAUACGAUCAGUAGUCGUGGAACUCCGCUGCUAUUGCUCGACGGGUUCACCUUUACCAGGGAUAAGGAACGUAACAGUUUUACCUCGUGGAAAUGUGCCCAACAUCGUACGCACAGCUGCAAGGCUCGUGCCAACGCCGUCCGGGAUCGCAGUGGCCAAAAGAAAAUCGUAAUCAAACACUCGCACAACCAUCCGCUCGUAACCGAGCGAAGAAAGAAAAGUUCCUCUAGAUAAAUAAAUGCGCUACUUCUAGUACCUCAGCCAUAGCUAACCGACAACUGAGUUUUUUCAUUGAUUAUUUUGUUGUUUUUUUUUUUUCAAAAUAAUGUUUGCUUCACAAUCUUAUUUGUUCUUUUAUAUUACCUUGAAGCAAUAUUCUGAAAUUAUAGUAUUAUUUUCGAAUUAUCUGUAUUGUCACGGUCGCCAUGUACUAUGUUGUUCUCUUGUCUUCAACAUUUUUCCAAAGCCAUGGCCAAUUCGAAAGCCAAAAAGGGCUUUUCAAAUUCAGCCUUGCAAUUGACAUAAUCUAGUACAACAGCAGUCUUCAAUAACUCUUGUGGUGAUCUUUUUGCUCAACAUCUGAACUUCUCAAAUUCUGACUCGGCAUGAUGUGCAUCAGAUGUACAAUGAGCUGCCAAUUUUUAGUUAAUGGAAUGGUAUUUUUUCUACCUCAACAAAUUGUCACGCAUGCAUAACCUCUUCAAUUUCAAAAUGUUGUUUAAGCUCUUGCUCUAGCUGAGAAAAAAACAUGUCGGACCAAGAUUGUCAAUAUACCUAAACUUGGACGAUCAUUCAGUAGUAUUCAAGUACUUCAGUGAUUAUCUUUUGUAUGUUUUCUAUGCUGUCUUAGCACAUGCAGACAAGACAUAAUGUACAUUAUUCACACCAUAAACUGUUAAUUUCCACUCGAAAAGUAGUUAUCUAGUACCUCAAUGUAAAGCUUCUAAUCAUAUCAUACAAUUUUCCCCAGCACCAGUAACCUAUACGGUGAACAAUCGUGGCAAUCGACGAAUAUGUCACCUGGGAUACCUUUUCGAUGCGGAGAAAAGACGACACAAAUCCACCAGUUGGCGAUGCUGCCAGGCAAAGAAGCUUCAGUGUAAGGCUCGGAUAGUCGAGCGAAUCUCAAAGUGGGGCGAGCCAUCAUAUGAAUUUGUGCGGUCUGUGCACAAUCAUGGUGUUGAUCCUGGUGACACGCUGCUGGGAUUAAGCUUCAAACUUUAAGAAGCAGUAAAUAAAUUAUUUUUUUAUUAGUUGAAAAUGUUUCCUUUUUAUAUUAAAACAUUCCUAGGUAUUAAUUGAAAUAAGUAUUCUAGUACUUCGUUUUUAUGUCUGUUCAUUUCAUAACUUACUUUGGAGCAGUUUGUAACGAUAUUUUGUAAUUCAACAGAUGUUACCGAAGUACAAUACGUGUUGAGCGCUCGUGGAGGCUUACAGCUAUGCAUCGAUGGCUUCCGCUACACACGUGAUCGGAUUAAAGAUAACAAAAUUAUCUACCGUUGCGUGCACUACAAACCCUUAGGAUGCAAAGCACGUGCCCACACCGAUAAGGAUGACCCCAAGGUAAAGAUUAUCGAGAUGGAACACAACCAUCCACUGAAGAUGGACCGCCGAAAAAGUGGAGCCCUGAGACAGCUACUGGAGCAACGCAAACAGGAAAAUCGAGCGGCGGGUGGGCGUGCAAGUCGAAAAAAGUGAUGGCGAUCUGUUUUUCGGCGAUAAUCUACUACUUCCUGCUUAUUGUAGGGACUUCGUUUGGUAUAUUCAAUUUGAAAGAGCAGUUGAAAUCGGUUGAAUACUGAGAUUUUAAAAGCGUCGAAGCGUCUACAAUCUAGUACUACAAUCUGAAAAUCAGGAAUCUGCUGGUAGUUUAUUUGUAAUCAUUUAUUCUUAGAGACGUCUUCAUGGUAGUUUAUUCUGGUUGAUGAAUAAAUCAAUAAAGCAACUAUGAUUAAUAUGUUGAUGUAUGUCUAAGCUUAUGAGACAAAAAAUCAGUUAUUUUAGUACAGUCAGGUACUUCGUCUUGAAAUAAUCACAUUCACAUCCAAACAAUUGCAGAACUAAGCAUAUCGCCUGUCCCACGACCAGUAAGGACGAUUACUACGAAGCUAUUCCGUGUUCAACAGAGCAAACCGGUUAUUGUCGCUGCCGUCGAGGGGUUUGCCUUUCCGCUACAAUCAGAAGAGGAAGUGGACCGUUUGGAGUACACCGCUCGAAGAGAUCGGAUCAUUCGUGAUCAAUAUGUAGCGUUGUUGCAGGAAGUCAAACCUCACCAUCAGGAUCCAUCCAAUGUUUUUGCAGACCUGUUUUCCGACGAGGCACUUCUGGGAUACAACUAUUACGGGAAAACGAACCGGGCGAAGAAGAAGAAAGCCAUGCGGAAGUAUAUCAUAUUCACCGAUUGUAUGGUUGAUGCAUGGCUUUCGCAUGGGGUUACGGAAGAAAGUUUAAGAAUAUCCAUCGUUAGGGUCAUUGCCCGACUUAACCACAAAGUACGUAGCAGAGGAUAUCGAAGAAACCCUUCAAGCGUUACAAUGCAGGAUGGUGCCGAAGUCGGGGAAGAACUUUAUUGAAAGAAGUGUGAAAAUUUUCCAGCGAUGCUAAGAAGUAAUGAUUUGUUAUGGUGCAGGAAGUUUCCAUGGUUAAGAUCAUUCCGUAAAGAACACUGCAGUACUAGAUUGCAACAUCUUGGAAUCGAUAAACGACUCUUGAAUCAAUCUGUUCAUUAAGUUUUAAUUUGCAUACUACAUACAUUAGGGAAAACGCCUGCAUUUACUCAACUAUGCUAAUAUUUCUUUUACAAAAUCGUCGACAAUAUUGAACGCCUGGAAAACACCGUCCAUGGAAAAUCAGUCAUCUUCAAAAAUAAGUGAAAUUAUUCCCAAAUUUUAGUACUGCGAUGUGAACUUGGAAUAUUUGAAAUGCAAAUGAUGACUGCCAACGUUAGAAUAAACAUAAUUUUAUUAUUAUAAUAAAACAGUAAACAUUGGACUAAUAUUUUGUUAUAUAUCUACAGAGAUUAUCAGUUGAGCCUCUAAUACCUAAUUGUAUAAACUUUUUCAACUCCCACAGCGUGCAAGUGUCAUACAUCUAAACCGAAGAAGCAAACUGAGCAAUGGUUCACUGUCGAUGCGUUUCAGUACGUAGAGAAUCGCAAGGGUAAUCUCAAUCUUUUCUACCAAGGCUACGAGUAUUUACGGAGACGUGUUGCCGACCAAGCAACCAUGUGGGAAUGUAACAAGAAGAGAACCUGCGGGGCACGAGCCGUAACCCGAAACGGCAAUCAAAUCAAGCUUAACAAGUUUCAACACAAUCAUCCGCAUUCGCGACUGGCACGUGGUCCGGUUAUUGUACCCGCCGUUAAUCCGAUGCCGAUCAUGUACAAGGACGAGCCUCUGGAUUUGAAUGCUCUUGACGAGGCGAUUUCGUAGAGUGCUUAGUAACAGUUAUAUCUGUCAAAGCAUGCUGUAUUAUUAUAAUCUAGUACUUUCUAAAUUUGGGCUAACAACAAACAAAUAGUUAACAACAAAUAAAUAAAUAAAUCAAACAUUUCGUCUGAAAUCUAGUACUUCAUUUCAACCAGUACACCAACCUUUAAGAACGUCACUAAUCAAUUUCAUGAUUUCCAUUCCAGAUUUCUACGUUCGGUACGUGACCGGAUUCAGGGGCAGUCGCAAAUUGAAAGUGGGCGAGUUCAGCUUUACCAAAAACAAGGAGUGUGCAAACAAAACGUACUGGUCCUGCGCCAGGGCCGGCAUGGACAAAUGCAAAGCGCGGGUGCUGACCUAUACGCUGAAAAAUGGCGAAGAGAAUCUGGUGGUACGCUAUCCCACGCAUAAUCACGGACCGUUCUAGUACUGCACUGUAUGAUAACAUUAGCCAAUGGAAGCAAGCAUUUAGAUUAUGGAAUCAAACUGAUUUAGCACAACAUAUUUGCUUGAAGGAUUCCUGUGGCUGGUAGAACGAUGAUUUCCAUUCUCGAUCAUGAAAUAUUACAUCCAAUCAAUGAUCUUUUUAGCGGAAUAUGAAAACUGCCUUGCUCAGCACGAGUUUCAUGCAGCAAUUUCAACCUCAAAUACUUCCGUCGUCGCCUCAGUUUAGCUUUAAAACAUCCCAACGGAGCGGCCGUCAUCUGCUGGUGGUAAAUGGGGUAACAUUCUUCCGGAAUCGCCAUCGCAACAACAAGCAGUACUGGAAGUGCAACCAGUACUACAAGUGCAAAUGCCCGUGCAUUGUCGUGAUUGAUGAGAUCAACUCGCGCAUGAACGUAAAGCAUGUUCACAACCACGACAACACGUCGGGUACCGCCGGUGGUGGUGGUAGUAGGAGAAAUAGUCUUCUUCCGCCGAUGUUAGAUCCAAGUACUUCGGCCCUGGCAGGAUCAUUUCUUAACGAUAGUCUACUGGUUGGAAGUAGCAGUGCACUGGCUGCCGCUGCUUCAUUUGCCCAAACUGUGCAAUCUAGGGGGUUAAUGGAUAAAAGAUAAUAAAAUAUGAUUAUUACGGAAUGCGACUUUUUCGAUGCAAUUUUUCAAUCUAGUACUACAUUUCAUAUUGUCAUCUCAAACAGUUCGAAUAACAUUCUCCUAUCUUCCAGCAGUUCUCAACAGAAGACGCUCCAAAGUCUACGCAAACAACCUGGAGCAGAAGAUGUCGGACAUGGAGGUAGCCCGGUUUGGGCUUAGUCAACGCAAGGCCAAGAAGCUGCUCUACCGGGGGUUCGAGUACGUUAAAGAUCGAGACUUCCCCGACUCGACUAAUUGGCGGUGUGCUUUGUUCCGGCGCCAGAAAUGCCGCGCUCGUGCGAUAACCACUGCCAUCGAAGGCGUUACCUACGUAAGGCUGACCAACGACCAACACAAUCAUGAUUAACAAAUGUAUCGCAAGGCUUCGCUACUAAUGCCAAGAGAGGGCCAAUGAAUAGGCGGGAGGCCGUUUUGUUAAAUAAGAUUAGUCAAAUUCUGUGAAUCCCUCUAGUCUUCCAGUACUUUCUAGUACUUACAAUAUCACGCUGCUAUGGACAAAUAGAUUGUUUACGAAAUGAUUGUUUCAGUAACUACUGGAAUUUAAGCUAAGUUCAUUAAUAAUUACACAUUUUAUAAUUAUUUGUUGCAGGUUGGAACACGAAUACACGGAGUUCUGCUAGCCACAAAAGCAAGAACAAGUCCAGAUUUGUAGGUAGGUCAAUGUACAGUAAUUAAAUUAAGAUCGAAUGAUCAGAUUUUAAAAACAAUUUGACGAAUAAGAAUAUUCUGUCACACACACUUUAACCCAAGUAACAUUUUUUAGUCAAAUAGACUUGAGAGGUUCUAAGAGCAAUCAUAAUAAUAAAAGGGAUGAGGUUUUAUGAUGGUUCUUCAUCUACAGGACUAAUAAAUCAUUAAAAUGUUAGUUGAGACACACUUUUCAUUCAAACAAUUAAUUAUAUAUGCAAUCCUGCGUAUUUUUCGCCACAUUUUCAAAGGCAACGUAUGACAGUGACGUUCACUUUUUCAUGAUGCAUGUGGACGUUUCAACUUUCAUUGACAGUAGAACUAAUUUUCCACGUAAGAUGGCUAACAUAACUCUUGAAAGAUGUACCUUUCAAAGUAACUUCGGAAACCGUUUAGUUAGUACAUAAUUUGAUCUGCAGUAAAGUGAAAUUCUGAAGACAUUUAUUAAAAAUUAGGCUAAAUCUAUUGCAGUUCCAUUCAAUGUAAAUUCAAUCCAACUGUUGCCGCGAAUUGGGAAGUGUUUGAGUGAAACUGGCAUCACUGCCAUAGAGAUAGGAGUUAGCUGAACAAUGGAAUAGCCUACAAAGAUCUAGCAGUCGUGUUGGAUAGCUUGCGUCUCUAGUAGGAUCGAUGUGAAACUAUUAUGUAAGAUAAUUAUUGUUAUUUUUAAGUGUAUAUCAUAUCAUUGUUUAAAUAUAUUACAGCAUUGAAGCUGAUGUGAAGUACACACUGCUAUCAAUAUGUGCUUCGUCGAAAUAGACACAACGUUCCCCAACACCAACUUUUUGCCUAAUCUAAUCUAGAACCAAUGUGAAUCAAUAAUGAUUUUUCCUUUUUCUUUUUGCAGGACCACAUACAAGAAUAUUAGACCCCUCCUGCCACAUGAUCAGUUACAGUUUCAAUGAAACGGGUGGUAAAGCCAUAGUCACCAUCGAUGGGUAUAGGUUCCGAAGAUCCUCAGUACAGGGAUCGAGAAUCUACUGGAAAUGUUCCAGAGUCAAAACCAAAAAGUGCUCAGCCAGAAUUACCACUUCCGUUAAUAGUUCGAAAAUUUUCUACAGCAUUCGGCCUCACACUCAUCCACCGGACGUCUAGAAAUAAGUCAGUUGAAGAUUUGGGAAAAUAAAGCACAAUGAUGAAACUCACUGUGAUGGAAUCCGAGCCAUUUUGUGCAUCGAACUGUUCUAAAUGGUCGUUUCAAAUAUAUGUCUCUUGGCUCGUGCAGGGUAGCAACAUGGUAUUUCCGAUUGUAGAUGGCCCACCUAACUAGUGUUGGAUAUGAGAAUGGCGAUGGUCUUACAUGACUUCCACCGUUGCUGAUGUCUACUGGCGUUAUAUUGCACUCACAUUUUCUUUUCAUUUUUUUCAGGUUGCAAUCCGUGGGCAUUGAAUUUUGCAAACCGUACAAGAGGUUCCACAUUUAUAAAACGGCGAUCGAGAAUAUUGGAUCCGUCCUGCCAUACGAUCAGUCACGGUUUCAGCCAAAUGGGUAAAGUCAUAAUCACCAUCGAUGGGUACAGCUUCGGGAGGUCUUUCUCCCAGGGAACGAGAAUCUACUGGAAAUGCACCAAAGUCGUAAUCGAAAAGUGUCCUGCCAGAAUUACCACGUGUGUCAAUAGUUCCAAUAUAAUCCACGGUGUUCGGCCUCACAAUCAUCCACCGUACGUUUAGGGAUGAAUCACUAAAUGAUUUUGGAAAAUAAAGCGCAAUGACAAAGAUAUUUGCAGUGCUAAGCGUGAAUUUUGAACAGCUGUCUCCUCUCAUCAAUCAUAUCUAACACACAUAUAUUCAAUGUUCGUUUUCCUCAACAGCCGAAAUCGCAAGGAAGUACCAGAACCCUCCGGCGGAAGCAGAUAGCGAUAGCGAUGACGAUUUUGAUCGAUCAAAGUCCCUGCUUCCGUUGGAUCUGCGAGUGGUGAUGGGCCGUACGGGACGUCCAACGUUGCUGAUGGGUGGCCACGUUUUCACUCGCGAUAACACUCACAAAGAUAAAACCUACUGGUUGUGCUCGAAGAGUCGCUCGCUGAAGUGCCGCGCCCGGAUUAUUACCCUGAACAGUAGUGGAGGUCUGGUUCUCAAGAAUCAGAUUCAUAACCAUUCGGCGUGUGGAAAUCGCUAGCGUUGAUGUGAAAAUAAAGAAUGAAACAUUAGACUUUUUGUUUUUUUUUUAUCAUUUAUGCAUGCCGUACUAGAUUUUUCGAUUUCUCACUAACCACCGCCUAAUUCUCACCCCUCACAGGAAAUAUCGUCGCCAAGGAAAAGUCAACAGAAGAAUACAUUUAUUUCGUCCGCACCGCCGACGGUCGCUAUAAAAUUCAGGCAAAUGCCCCAAUCAAGAAGGAAAAAGCACAUCCACAGCCGAAAAUGGUUAAUACUGGAACCAGACUGAUCCGAUCUGGAACCAUCUUUCCCCUUAACGAAGGAACGGAAGUGGAACAGUUGGAACAACUUGUGAAGAAGGAUUCCACAAUCAGGCAGGAAUAUAUUGAUGUUCUAAAGCUCAAGCCUAGGGAUACCAAAAUCGUCCAUUACAUGCAUAACGUUUUCACGGACGAUUCACUUAUUGACUACAACUACAAUGGAGUUACCGUUGGUGGUCAAACUAAACGCGCCAUGCGAGUGUACGACAUAUUUUCCAAAUGCUUCAUGGAAGCGUACGCAGCGGAAGGACUCACAGACUCCGAGCUGGCCUUCCAGCUGACGUCGGCGAUCAAGCAAAGUCGAAACCGGAUGCGGCAGCGAAUGUUCCGCGCUAGGAAAAUUGUGAAAGCAAGUUUUGAAAAGAGACAGGGAACUUCAUUUGAGACUUGAUGAAUUUUUGUGUAUCCUAUUGACUCAAUUACUUAAAUUUCAGAGACGCUCAGCUUCUUUAUUGUUUUAGUGCUCUAAUCUUUUUUAAUUCGGUUCUAGAAUCAGUAGCUUUUUCGCGAUGAAUGAUAACAUGCUUUCUAUUUAUUUUUCAUCCUGAAGGCAGGUUUAUUUUAAAUUCAAAUAAUCACCAAUGAAUUGUAAACACUCUUUAAUUGAUACACUUCUUGUAAUGGAUAUUUCACCUUACCACUACGAUACCAUGCCUCAGAAGUACUUUAUUGAGUAGAAGUAAUGUUUAUAUCUGUUAAUGUUUUUAUAUCUGAAAAUCUGACACUUACAAAUUACACUGAUCUUUUUAAUUGUCCUUCCUGUGAAAAAAUAAAUAAAAACAAAACAAAACAAAAUUACCUGUUAGAGUAUAUUCUUCAGCAAAGCAAAUUCUAAAUUUACAUAAAAAUGUACUCAUUUUUUAAUAAAUUAACCAUGCCAACUCCUCCCCAUUCCAGACCAAGAGUUCAUGAUGAUAGAAAUCUGCUCCGAUGAAGCCACUCGGCAUGCCUCCGAUGAUGACCAAAGCAAAACAACGUCCUCCACUGGAGGUAAUACUGCAACAAGAUCACUUCGAUUAGCGGGAUUCACGUUUCCUCUGAAACGUGCAGAAGACAUCGAACGCUUGGAGAAAGCCGUCAGAGCAGAUCCGUUCAUUCGGAAAGAAUACAUUCGCUACGUGUCAUCUCGGGUGGGCGAUCGUCCUAAUAUUUCAACGCACAUCAGAGGGCUUUUCUGCGAUAGAUCUCUUGAGAAUUACACGUAUCAUGGGGUUAGCAAUCCGCAGUAUCCUCGGAAAGCAAUGAAAGACUACGACAUCUUCACCAACUGUUUGCUAGUUGCAUGGGAGGACGAUGGAAUCACGGCGGAUGAGCUUAGAAUGUCGCUGAUCAAGGCAACACAAAAAGCGAAGCAACAUUUAUCGUCGGCUCGGUACUACAAGCGCUACCGGGAACAGCUUCUAGAGAAACGGAAAGCCAGUUGGAAGAGCAAAAAGUUUACCUCCGAGUAGUUGCUAGUCAACUGUGUGGUAAAAUUUUGAAAAUUAAAUCUUGCAGAAAUAAAACGAACAAUCGACUGCAAUUUACCGGUGUUCUGGUACUUCAUUGAUCAAAUUGUCGUCAAAAUAUUCAUCACGGAUUUUUUUUCAAAUAUACAAAUGCCCAAUGUCCCUUGUACAUUGCCCAAUACUACGACUAAA